GUUGAUCCUGCCAGUAGUCAUAUGCUUGUCUCAAAGAUUAAGCCAUGCAUGUCUCAGUACAAGCCAAAUUAAGGUGAAACCGCGAAAGGCUCAUUAAAUCAGUUAUGGUUCCUUAGAUUGUACCCACAAUUACUUGGAUAACUGUGGUAAUUCUAGAGCUAAUACAUGCAGACCGAGCUUCGACCGGAGACGGAAGAAGUGCUUUUAUUAGAACAAAACCAAUCGGUGGCGGGUGCGCUCGUCAUCGUAUAAAUUGGUGACUCUGAAUAACUUUGUGCUGAUCGCACGGUCAUCGAACCGGCGACGCAUCUUUCAAAUGUCUGACUUAUCAACUGUCGAUGGUAGGUUCUGCGCCUACCAUGGUCGUAAMGGGUAACGGGGAAUCAGGGUUCGAUUCCGGAGAGGGAGCCUGARAAACGGCUACCACAUCCAAGGAAGGCA
rnacentral:rRNA from 1 species